UACGGAGGGAGCUAGCGUUGUUCGGAAUUACUGGGCGUAAAGCGCGCGCAGGCGGUCUUCCAAGUCAGUGGUGAAAGCCCGGAGCUCAACUCCGGAACUGCCAUUGAAACUGUUUAGCUUGAGGAUGAGAGAGGUGAGUGGAAUUCCCAGUGUAGAGGUGAAAAUUCGUAGAGAUCGGGAGGAACACCAGUGGCGAAGGCGGCUACCUGGACCAGCACUGACACUGAGGCACGAAAGCGUGGGGAG
rnacentral:rRNA from 1 species